UCCCCCUCCUACACCUGGAUGUUAGUCGCCGCUUCAGACACCUGUGCAUUUAUCCAACAAUCAGAGGAAAAAACACCAUCGUCUCUUACCUCUCCCUACUCAGCUUCUAAUCCCCAUUCUCCAACCAUGGCAGGCGCUCACCUUCUCGCCCCUUCCCCUCCACCUCCAAGCGCCUCACCCAGCGGUUCCUCAACAGCCCGCAGUUGUCGCUCAAGUUGCUUCCGCUUCUCUCCUCCUGCCUCCCCCCUUGAUGCCGUCCGCCGCCGACCGGACCUGGAUGAACGAGCACGUCCUCAACGCCAAGCAGGCGCAGUGCUCUAGCAGUCUGGCCUCCUCGGCGUCGACGCAGUCUGCAUCCAUCUAGUACUGCAUCCACCAAGAGUUCUAAAGAACAGAGGAAGAUUCCUGUGCUUGGAGUUGAGUCAUGUGAUUGUUCAGAUUUUUAAAGACAUAUAUUGCGUAGGAGGUUGAGGGACAUGAGGUCCGGCAGUGAGCUUAAAGCUCUGUUGCUAUUCAACGGUCUUAGGAAUCUCUUCAAAUAAACAUAUGAGGUAUAUGUUCUGCCCCUCUCGAUAUGCUUAGCAGAAUAAUUAAUUUGUGAUGAUCCUGUUUUCCUAUUGUCUAAUCUUGGAGUAAGUUUCUCUUGAAUAUAUGUGAUCUGUUUUAUCACUUUGUGGUACUCUUUAAUCUCUUUGGUUAAUAUAAACAUGGUUGUGCAAUUAUGAUUGAAAUCACAUCAACAGAAUGUCUACGCCUAAUUAUUAUUGGAAUUACCUUAACACUUGUUUCACAAUACAUAGCAAUCUUGCGGCUACUCCUGAACCCAAAACCGGCCAUCCACUUGAUUACCUGUAUCAAACCAUGGCGGGAAGUUGUUGAUUUUGUCAAAAGUAGCAAUCAAAGGCAUGCCUGGCUACCCCGAUGAACGCCAAGGGGUUCAGAGAUAUGGGGAUGCAGACCAUGUCCAUCACCAGGUGCC